CCAGACUCCUACGGGAGGCAGCAGUGGGGAAUAUUGGGCAAUGGAGGCAACUCUGACCCAGCAAUGCCGCGUGAGUGAUGAAGGUAAUUUUAUUGUAAAGCUCUUUUCUUUGGAACGAAUAAAUGACGGUACCAAAGGAAUAAGCCCCGGCUAACUACGUGCCAGCAGCCGCGGUAAUACGGGGGGUGCAAGCGUUGUCCGGAAUCAUUGGGCGUAAAGAGUUCGUAGGUGGCACGUUAAGUCUGGUGUUAAAGGCGGAAGCUCAACUUCCGUAGGGCACUGGAUACUGGCGAGCUUGAAUGCGGUAGAGGUAAAGGGAAUUCCUGGUGUAGCGGUGAAAUGCGUAGAUAUCAGGAGGAACAUCGGUGGCGUAAGCGCUUUACUGGGCCGUAAUUGACACUGAGGAACGAAAGCCGGGGUAGCAAAUGGGAUUAGAUACCCGAGUA
rnacentral:rRNA from 1 species